UCAAGCGAUCCUGCGCCGAAAAUGUAACGGGGCUAAAGCCAUUUACCGAAAUUGUGGGCUCGAAAGAGCGGUAGCGGAGCGUUCCGUAAGCCUGCGAAGGUGCACUGCGAGGUGUGCUGGAGGUAUCGGAAGUGAGAAUGUUGACAUGAGUAGCGACAAAGCGGGUGAGAGACCCGCUCGCCGAAAAUCCAAGGGUUCCUGCGUAAAGCUAAUCUGCGCAGGGUUAGCCGGCCCCUAAGGCGAGGCCGAAAGGCG
rnacentral:rRNA from 12 species